GCCACAUGAUGCUACAUAGAUUGCAUUAGCACUCUGUGCAAAGAUGACCAACUAUCUAUCACCCAAGACUGAUGGCU
ensembl:snoRNA SNORD83 Small nucleolar RNA SNORD83